rnacentral:rRNA from 1 species
UACGGAGGGUGCUAGCGUUGUUCGGAAUUACUGGGCGUAAAGGGCGCGUAGGCGGCCGUUUGCGUCGGAUGUGAAAGCCCCGGGCUCAACCUGGGAAUGGCAGUGGAAACUAGGGGACUGGAAUCUGGCAGAGGGGGGUGGAAUGCCGCGUGUAGCAGUGAAAUGCGUAGAGAUGCGGCGGAACACCGAUGGCGAAGGCAGCCCCCUGGGCUGAGAUUGACGCUCAGGCACGAAAGCGUGGGGAGCAAACAGG